AUGCAUAUACCACCAGGUUUCAACAUGGUACAAACUGAAGGAAAGGUCUUGAAGCUCCGUCGUUCACUAUAUGGCCUAAAACAAUCUCCUCGUGCGUGGUUUGGUCGAUUUAGAAAAGCUAUGCUGAAAUUGGGUUUCAGCCAGAGCAAUGCCGACCAUACUUUAUUUUAUAAAAGAUGUGGUGGAAAACUGACGAUAUUAAUUGUCUAUGUUGAUGAUAUUGUUAUUACAGGAGAUGAUGAUCAAGGUAUUGAAAAAGUGAAGCAACAUUUGAGUAACGAGUUCGAAGUCAAGGAUCUAGGACAAAUGAGGUACUUUCUUGGAAUUGAAGUCUCACGAAGCUCAAGAGGUUCAAAUGAAUAG
rnacentral:rRNA from 1 species